UUGGGCAGUUCGUCGACUCUGCUCUUAGAUGAUCCAAUGAUCAAAGAGCUUCUUCGGAUCGGGUCCCAAUUUGUUGGGUACCGUGAAUAUGCCGCCAGAGCCGAAGAAAAACUUUCAGAGGCUAACGAACGCGCCGACGCACUGGCUCAAAAACUUGAGCAAAGUGAGGCGGCUCGCAAGAAAGCCGAACUCGC